rnacentral:rRNA from 1 species
UACGGGGGGGGUAAGCGUUGUUCGGAAUUACUGGGCGUAAAGGGCUCGUAGGCGGCCAACUAAGUCAUACGUGAAAUCCCUCAGCUUAACUGGGGAACUGCGUGUGAUACUGGAUGGCUUGGAUUUGGGAGAGGGAUGCGGAAUUCCAGGUGUAGCGGUGAAAUGCGUAGAUAUCUGGAGGAACACCGGUGGCGAAGGCGGCACCCUGGACCAAUAUUGACGCUGAGGAGCGAAAGCUAGGGGAGCAAACAGG